rnacentral:rRNA from 1 species
GACGAACGCUGGCGGCGUGCUUAACACAUGCAAGUCGAACGGAAAGGCCCUGCUUGCAGGGUACUCGAGUGGCGAACGGGUGAGUAACACGUGGGUGAUCUGCCCUGCACUUCGGGAUAAGCCUGGGAAACUGGGUCUAAUACCGGAUAGGAGCCAUUUUUAGUGUGAUGGUUGGAAAGUUUUUUCGGUGUAGGAUGAGCUCGCGGCCUAUCAGCUUGUUGGUGGGGUAAUGGCCUACCAAGGCGGCUACGGGUAGCCGGCCUGAGAGGGUGGACGGCCACAUUGGGACUGAGAUACGGCCCAGACUCCUACGGGAGGCAGCAGUGGGGAAGAUUGCACAAUGGGCGCAAGCCUGAUGCAGCGACGCCGCGUGGGGGAUGACGGCCUUCGGGUUGUAAACUCCUUUCGCUAGGGACGAAGCUUUUUGUGACGGUACCUAGAUAAGAAGCACCGGCUAACUAC